rnacentral:rRNA from 1 species
GACGAACGCUGGCGGCGUGCUUAACACAUGCAAGUCGAACGGAAAGGCCCUGCUUUUGUGGGGUGCUCGAGUGGCGAACGGGUGGGUAACACGUGAGUAACCUGCCCUUGACUUUGGGAUAACUUCAGGAAACUGGGGCUAAUACCGGAUAGGAGCUCCUGCUGCAUGGUGGGGGUUGGAAAGUUUCGGCGGUUGGGGAUGGACUCGCGGCUUAUCAGCUUGUUGGUGGGGUAGUGGCUUACCAAGGCUUUGACGGGUAGCCGGCCUGAGAGGGUGACCGGCCACAUUAGGACUGAGAUACGGCCCAGACUCCUACGGGAGGCAGCAGUGGGGAAUAUUGCACAAUGGGCGGAAGCCUGAUGCAGCAACGCCGCGUGCGGGAUGACGGCCUUCGGGUUGUAAACCGCUUUCGCCUGUGACGAAGCGUGAGUGACGGUAAUGGGUAAAGAAGCACCGGCUAACUACGUG